rnacentral:tRNA from 2 species
GCGGGUGUAGUUCAGUAGCAGAACACCCACCUUCCUGGUGGGAGAGCUUGGUGCAAUUCCCGGCGCCCGCU